rnacentral:rRNA from 1 species
GGUGAACACGGAGCUUGCUCUGUGGGAUCAGUGGCGAACGGGUGAGUAACACGUGAGCAACCUGCCCCUGACUCUGGGAUAAGCGCUGGAAACGGCGUCUAAUACUGGAUAUGUGACGUGAUCGCAUGGUCUGCGUCUGGAAAGAAUUUCGGUUGGGGAUGGGCUCGCGGCCUAUCAGCUUGUUGGUGAGGUAAUGGCUCACCAAGGCGUCGACGGGUAGCCGGCCUGAGAGGGUGACCGGCCACACUGGGACUGAGACACGGCCCAGACUCCUACGGGAGGCAGCAGUGGGGAAUAUUGCACAAUGGGCGCAAGCCUGAUGCAGCAACGCCGCGUGAGGGAUGACGGCCUUCGGGUUGUAAACCUCUUUUAGCAGGGAAGAAGCGAAAGUGACGGUACCUGCAGAAAAAGCGCCGGCUAACUACGUGCCAGCAGCCGCGGUAAUACGUAGGGCGCAAGCGUUAUCCGGAAUUAUUGGGCGUAAAGAGCUCGUAGGCGGUUUGUCGCGUCUGCUGUGAAAUCCGGAGGCUCAACCUCCGGCCUGCAGUGGGUACGGGCAGACUAGAGUGCGGUAGGGGAGAUUGGAAUUCCUGGUGUAGCGGUGGAAUGCGCAGAUAUCAGGAGGAACACCGAUGGCGAAGGCAGAUCUCUGGGCCGUAACUGACGCUGAGGAGCGA